AAUCCUCACAACAAACCUCUAAUUUCAGCAUUUUGGAGGUACAAUGUUGAAUAGCAGACCUCUACAGCUUAUUCCAGAGCUUGUUUCCACACAAGCUGCCCAGAC